rnacentral:rRNA from 1 species
UCCCAGUUCGGAUUGUAGUCUGCAACCCGACUACAUGAAGCUGGAAUCGCUAGUAAUCGCGGAUCAGAAUGCCGCGGUGAAUACGUUCCCGGGUCUUGUACACACCGCCCGUCACACCAUGGGAGUCGGAAAUGCCCGAAGUCGGUGACCGAACCGAAAGGAAGGAGCCGCCGAAGGCAGGUCUGGUGACUGGGGUGAAGUCGUAACAAGGUAUC